AUGCAGUACGGCGCGGCGGCCGAGCAGGCGUGGUACAUGCCGGCGAUGCCGGUCACCUUGGCGGCGGAAACGGCGGCGGAGCGGGUGGAGCGCCUGGCGUCGGAGAGCGCCGUGGUGGUGUUCAGCGUGAGCAGCUGCUGCAUGUGCCACGCCGUGAAGCACCUCUUCUGCGGCAUGGGCGUGCACCCCACCGUGCACGAGCUGGACCUCGACCCGCGCGGCCUCGAACUGGAGCGCGCCCUCGCCGACCUCCUCGGCUGCGCCGUCCCCGGAGGAGCCGCACCGGUCGUUCCCGUCGUAUUCAUCGGCGGCAAGCUGGUCGGCGCCAUGGACCGCGUGAUGGCCGCGCACAUCAACGGCUCCCUCGUGCCGCUGCUCAAGGAGGCCGGCGCUCUCUGGCUCUGA
rnacentral:rRNA from 1 species